CAGAAGGCGGGGCCGUUCUUGGUCCUAUAUAAGCAGCCCCUGAGGGUUGCUCACUUCCUUUUCGUAGCUGCCGCCAACGUUGGUGAGAGGCCUGGACUUUGUCCCUGUAGGCCAGAAUGCCAGUUGCCAGGAGUUGGGUAUGUCGGAAGACAUAUGUCACCCCCCGCCGACCCUUUGAGAAAUCUCGCCUCGACCAGGAGCUCAAACUAAUUGGUGAGUAUGGGCUACGGAACAAGCGUGAAGUGUGGCGAGUAAAGUUCACUUUGGCCAAGAUCCGCAAAGCUGCCCGUGAGCUACUCACCCUGGAUGAGAAGGAUCAGCGACGUCUCUUUGAGGGCAAUGCCUUAUUGCGCCGGCUGGUCAGAAUUGGGGUACUGGAUGAGGGCAAGAUGAAACUGGAUUACAUCCUGGGUCUGAAGAUAGAGGAUUUCUUGGAGAGACGUCUCCAGACUCAGGUCUUCAAGCUGGGCCUGGCCAAGUCCAUCCACCAUGCUCGGGUGCUCAUCCGCCAAAGACACAUCCGCCUAUUCCAAGAUAUAUGUAGCAGUGCCUCAGCUGUUCUUUUUGCAUCACCCGCCCCUUCCCUGGAUUGGAACUCUGGAUAGCUCAGUAAUGUUGCAACCCAUCUCAUGAGGCAGCGUACCAAAUAGAACUCAAAAGAUUUCGGCAAGGCUCACUGCGGCUCAGCCGUACACCUUGCGAAGGUCUUGGCCACGUGAGCAGUGGAGUGUAAGGAAGCAAGUGGUGAACAUCCCUUCCUUCAUUGUUCGUCUGGACUCUCAAAAACAUAUCGAUUUCUCCCUCCGUUCGCCAUAUGG